AUUGAACGCUGGCGGCAGGCCUAACACAUGCAAGUCGAACGGUAACAGGAAGACGCUUGCUUCUUUGCUGACGAGUGGCGGGCGGGUGAGUAAUGUCUGGGAAACUGCCUGAUGUAGGGGGAUAACUACUGGAAACGGUAGCUAAUACCGCAUAAUGUCGCAAGACCAAAGAGGGGGACCUUCGGGCCUCUUGCCAUCGGAUGUGCGCAGAUGGGAUUAGCUAGUAGGUGGGGUAACGGCUCACCUAGGCGACGAUCCGUAGCUGGUCUGAGAGGAUGACCAGCCACACUGGAACUGAGACACGGUCCAGACUCCUACGGGAGGCAGCAGUGGGGAAUAUUGCACAAUGGGCGCAAGCCUGAUGCAGCUAUGCCGCGUGUAUGAAGAAGGCCUUCGGGUUGUAAAGUGCUUUCAGCGGGGAGGAAGGGAGUAAAGUUAAUACCUGGGCUCAUUGACGGUACCCGAAGAAGAAGCACCGGCUAACUCCGUG
rnacentral:rRNA from 1 species